rnacentral:lncRNA from 1 species
GGAAGUGGUAAAGGGACGGAGGGGAAGCCCUGAGAGGACUGAGAGGAUGGGAAAUUCUCUGCUGAGAGAAAACAGGCGGCAGCAGAACACUCAAGAGAUGCCUUGGAAUGUGAGAAUGCAAAGCCCCAAACAGAGAACAUCCAGGAAGACAAAGGCAUUCUACCAUGAGAGAUGUGUCCAAGUUAUCUAGAAUGAAACACGCUUGCGGGGAGAAAAAAAGUUUUCCACAGAAAUGGCAAAAGGAAAGGAGUCACCUUAACAAAGCUGCAGAAAUCAACCUUAUGAUUUGCCAUCUCUCUUGGGUAUUUUAGAUGCUGGGAUCACCAUAUCGCUGAAGGGUGUUUCUGCCUUCCAUGGAAAAAAAUACUCAUUUUUGAAAAGAGGCAAGAUUCCCAAAACGAAAGACAAUGUUGACCAGACCUACUCAGAGGAGCUGUGCUAUACCCUCAUCAAUCAUCGGGUUCUCUGUACAAGGCCAUCAGGGAACUCUGCUGAAGAGUACUAUGAGAAUGUUCCCUGCAAAGCUGAGAGACCCAGAGAGUCCUUGGGAGGAACUGAGACUGAGUAUUCACUUCUACAUAUGCCUUCUACAGACCCCAGGCAUGCCCGAUCCCCAGAAGAUGAAUAUGAACUUCUCAUGCCUCACAGAAUCUCCUCUCACUUUCUGCAACAGCCACGUCCACUUAUGGCCCCUUCUGAGACUCAGUUUUCCCAUUUAUAGUGAAGUGGCUGGACUAGCAUUUGUUUAGCACCAACAAAUAAAAGGUGGGAUGGGGGAUCUGCCUGAAGCAGGGAUGGGACACAAAGUCCCUCCAGCUUAUCUCCCACAACAACCCUUUCCCUGCAGAGCAUGGUUUGUAUACCACAAGCC